rnacentral:rRNA from 1 species
GACGAACGCUGGCGGCGUGCUUAACACAUGCAAGUCGAACGGAAAGGCCCUGCUUUUGUGGGGUGCUCGAGUGGCGAACGGGUGAGUAACACGUGAGUAACCUGCCCUUGACUUUGUGAUAACUUCAGGAAACUGUGGCUAAUACCGGAUAUGAUCUCCUGCUGCAUGGUGUUGUUUGGAAAGUUUCGGCUGUUGGGGAUGGACUCGCGGGUUAUCAGCUUGUUGGUGGGGUAGUGGCUUACCAAUGAUUUGACGGGUAGCCGGCCUGAGAGGGUUACCGGCGACAUGGGGACAGAGAGACGGACCAGAAUGGAAAGGGAGGCAGCAGGGGGGAAUAUUGCACAAUGGGAGGAAGCCUGAUGCAGAAACGCAGCGUGCGGGAUGACGGCCUUCGGGUUGUAAAACGAUUUCGACUGUGACGAAGCGUGAGUGACGGUAAUGGGUAAAGAAGCACCGGCUAACUACGUG